rnacentral:rRNA from 1 species
AUACGGAGGGUGCAAGCGUUACUCGGAAUCACUGGGCGUAAAGGAUGCGUAGGCGGAUAAUCAAGUCAAAAGUGAAAUCCUACAGCUUAACUGUAGAACUGCUUUCGAAACUGGUUAUCUAGAAUAUGGAAGAGGCAGAUGGUAUUAGUGGUGUAGGGGUAAAAUCCGUAGAGAUCACUAGGAAUACCGAUUGCGAAGGCGAUCUGCUGGGACAUUAUUGACGCUGAGGCAUGAAAGCGUGGGGAGCAAACAGGAUUAGAAACCCUAGUAGUCC